rnacentral:ncRNA from 1 species
AAGUAUCUCCGAGUCCCGCCACGGAUGGCGGUGAUAGGAGUAACGGCUGGUUGGCACAGCCAUCGACGUUCUUGUUUGACAAGGAAACUGGUGCGUUCGCACCUCAAGAACACGUAACGUCGUAAACCACAAUAUCCCAACGACGGUCGGGAAUCCUCGCCCUUCAGGGCAGGGA